UCCCUGGUGGCUCAGACGGUAAAGCGUCUGCCUACAGUGCAGGAGACCCGGGUUCGAUUCCUGGGUUGGGAA
rnacentral:tRNA from 1 species